rnacentral:rRNA from 1 species
UAAUGCCAACCUGUGCUCCUGGUUACUGUGACGCUAAGCAGGGUUGUGAUCUUCCUCACUGUGACGCUAAGCAGGUUUGGGGCCUGGCCAGUAGUUGAAUGGGAGACCAACUAAGAAAGCAGGGUUGC